rnacentral:rRNA from 1 species
AUUGAACGCUGGCGGCGUGCUUAACACAUGCAAGUCGAUCGGUAACGCGGGGGCAACCCUGGCGACGAGAGGCGGACGGGUGAGGAACGCUUGGGAAUCUGCCUAUCAGCGGGGGACAACCCGGGGAAACUCAGGCUAAUACCGCAUACGCUCUACGGAGGAAAGCCGGGGACCGCAAGGCCUGGCACUGAUAGAUGAGCCCAAGUCGGAUUAGCUAGUUGGCGGGGUAACGGCCCACCAAGGCGACGAUCCGUAGCUGGGCUGAGAGGACGAUCAGCCACACUGGGACUGAGACACGGCCCAGACUCCUACGGGAGGCAGCAGUGGGGAAUAUUGGACAAUGGGGGAAACCCUGAUCCAGCGACGCCGCGUGGGUGAAGAAGGCCUGCGGGUUGUAAAGCCCUUUCGGUAGGGACGAAAGCUCUCGACCUAACACGUCGGGAGGUUGACUUAACCUACAAAAGAAGCACCGGCUAACUCUGUGCCAGCCGCCGCAGUAACAC